rnacentral:lncRNA from 1 species
ACUUGCCGUCACCCUGUGGGGUGGGUGUUGAGUUUCUUCUUCAUCACCUUGGUCAGUGCUGCAUGUUACUGUGUAGCCCUUGGUUGCUUCUCUCCCCUACCAGUGCCCAGAGGGCAUGAGCUCUCUUUUGUACUCUGUUAUAUCUCCAGUUCCUGGGGGUAGGCACCUGAUAAAAAUUUAGGGAAUGCAUACAUAGCCUAGAGGCCAAUUUCCCCUUUAGAUGUUGACUGUCCCUUUUCUCCAAGUAGGGAGAGUGGUGACGGGGCGUGGAGAGGCAGAGGGGAGAGAAGGAGCAGUGUUACCAGCGAGUCUGUCUGGCAAUGAUAUCUGCCUCAACCCCUUUUUGUCCCAGCGGUGUAGACGCAGGUCAGAUGACUUUCCAACUCUAUGCGGCUCUUGCCUGUCCCUCCAUCCCUGCUGCGGUGAACCUCUCAUCUGAGCCUCCCCAACAGUUUGUGCAAAGACUCCACUUAACGUUGGUCUGUUGACUGUCACGGGCAUCUGUGAGCCUCCUGUGCCUUCUUGUUUAACAACGAUCUCAGCUUGUGGCGAGGGAGUGGUGAUGGCACAGGGUAGAGCUGCCAGAGGGGUCAGCUUGGCCUGGGUUCGGGCUCAGGAGUGCCAGCUUCCUCGAGGAGUGGGAGGUCGGUCAUGCAAGGGAGAGCGUUGAGCCCAGGCCCCAGGAUAACUGAGACUGUUUGGAGGUGGUGUCCCCAACCCUCGCUUACGUGGGCGGGUCUCAGCGGGGCGAGGCUUAGCUUGCCUGCUGAGCCCUGCAAAUGCAGGUGAGGCGGCUCAAGCGUUUCCACCUGGACUGGCGUGGCGCUCAGGCCUCUGCGUCUCUCUCUUCCCGUGUAUGCAGAGUCAGCUGCCCUGCCCUCGCCUGUGAUUCUAAAAUCAACACAACCAAAUCCACACUCGUCGCUGGCUUUCCCUGCCCUGCUGUGGAGCACAUGAACCCGGGGACGCAUUCGGCUUUCCUUUGAUAGGGGAAGGCAGCCCAAACAGCACCCAGACCAAGAGCCUGGAUCAGGGAUCCUGCUGCCUGAGACUUUCUAACUAGGCCAAGAAAUGAGGACACUGAACUACUUCUUCUUGAGAUGACGGAAUCUUGACCAGACCAGAGGGAGUGAGGUCUAUCUAUCCCACGAAGAAACUGAGAUGCAGCUUAUGAAAUAGAGGCUGACAAUGGCUCACCCACCUCCUUUGUAAGAGCCUGGUGUGUGCUACAGGAGCAUGGCCCAUAUACGUGUCAGGUUGAAGGACAACUCAGGAGCUGUCCAAGGCUCAACUUGGCCCCACUUGCCCCAUCUGGCAGCCUGGACCGAGCAUUGUUCAUUGAGUCCCACACCCACAUGGCCCCAGAGUCAAACCGCCUUUCAUGCUGAAGAAUGGAACUGACACUCCCAGCAACAUCUCCCCCAACCAUGCCCAUCUGUUAAUCCAACUUAAAAAGAAGGAAAAAAAAAUGACAAUGGAAAUGGAAA